CAUCGCCCCUUGUAACAAAAUAAGAAUAAGGGGUACUGCCUGCCCAGUGAUAUAAAAAUUUAACGGCCGCGGUAUCUUGACCGUGCAAAGGUAGCAUAAUAAUUUGCUCUUUAAUUGAGGGCUAGUAUGAAAGGCAAAACGAAGGCUCAACUGUCUCCCUAUUAAAAAAAGAAAUUAAUAUUUUAGUGAAGAAGCUAAAAUAAAAUUGCAAGACGAGAAGACCCUGUCGAGCUUAAGAAAAUUUUUAUUUAAAAAUAUUAAAAAUUAAGCUAAUUAAAUUAAAAAUACUUUAAAUAAAUUAAACAAUAAAAAUAUCUUUGGUUGGGGCAACCACGAAGAAAAAAAAACCUUCGACUUUUAAUAAAAAAUAAACAAAUUUAAAAACUUUAAUAAGCUUUACAAAAGAUCCGGUAACACCCGAUCAAAGAAAAAAGUUACCGCAGGGAUAACAGCGUUAUUCUCUUUAAGAGCUCUUAUUGACAAGAGAGUUUGCGACCUCGAUGUUGGACCGGGGCACCCAAGAGAUGCAGAAGUCUCUAAAGGUAGGUCUGUUCGACCUUUAAAGCCCUACGUGA
rnacentral:rRNA from 1 species